GAUGAACGCUGGCGGCGUGCCUAAUACAUGCAAGUCGAGCGAACAGACGAGGCGCUUGCUCCUUUGACGUUAGCGGCGGACGGGUGAGUAACACGUGGGUAACCUACCUAUAAGACUGGGAUAACUUCGGGAAACCGGAGCUAAUACCGGAUAAUAUUUCGAACCGCAUGGUUCGAUAGUGAAAGAUGGCUUUGCUAUCACUUCUAGAUGGACCUGCGCCGUAUUAGCUAGUUGGUAAGGUAACGGCUUACCAAGGAAACGAUUCGUAGCCGACGUGAGAGGGUGAUCGGCCACACUAGAACUGGGACACGGUCCAGACGCCUACGGGAGGCAGCAGUAUGGAAUGUUCCGCAAUGGUCGAAAGCCUGACGGAGCAACGCCGCGUGUGAUGUGAAGGUCUUCGGAUCGUAAAACUCUGUUAUUAGGUAAGAACAAACUUGUAAGUAGCUGUGCACGUCUUGACGGUACCUAAUCAGAAAGCAACGGCUAACUACGUG
rnacentral:rRNA from 1 species